rnacentral:rRNA from 1 species
UACGUAGGGGGCAAGCGUUGUUCGGAAUUACUGGGCGUAAAGGGCGCGUAGGCGGCACGGCAAGUCGGGAGUGAAAGCCCGGGGCUCAACCCCGGAGGGUCUCUCGAAACUGCCGAGCUAGAGUGCGGAAGAGGCAACCGGAAUUCCCGGUGUAGCGGUGAAAUGCGCAGAUAUCAGGAGGAACACCGGUGGCGAAGGCGGAUCUCUGGGCCAUUACUGACGCUGAGGAGCGAAAGCGUGGGGAGCGAACAGG